AUUGAACGCUGGCGGCAGGCCUAACACAUGCAAGUCGAACGAGUGGCGGACGGGUGAGUAAUGUCUGGGAAACUGCCCGAUGGAGGGGGAUAACUACUGGAAACGGUAGCUAAUACCGCAUACCAUCGGAUGUGCCCAGAUGGGAUUAGCUAGUAGGUGGGGUAACGGCUCACCUAGGCGACGAUCCCUAGCUGGUCUGAGAGGAUGACCAGCCACACUGGAACUGAGACACGGUCCAGACACCUACGGGGGGAAGCAGUGGAGAAUAUUGCACAAUGGGCGCAAGCCUGAUGCAGCCAGGCCGCGUGUAUGAAGAAGGCCUUCGAGUUGUAAAGUAAUUUCAGCGGGGAGGCGUUACCCGAAGAAGAAGCACCGGCUGACUCCGUGCCAGCAGCCGCAGUAAUUC
rnacentral:rRNA from 1 species